rfam:Danio rerio chromosome 3, GRCz11 reference primary assembly.
UACUUCCUCAAAUGUAAGUCGCUUUGGACAAAAGUGCCUGCUAAAUGACUAAAU